rnacentral:rRNA from 1 species
GACGAACGCUGGCGGCGUGCUUAACACAUGCAAGUCGAACGGAAAGGCCAGUGCUUGCUCUGGUGCUCGAGUGGCGAACGGGUGAGUAACACGUGGGUGAUCUGCCUUGCACUCUGGGAUAAGCUUGGGAAACUGGGUCUAAUACCGGAUAGGAACCGUCUUUAGUGUGGUGGUUGGAAAGUUUUUUCGGUGCCAGGUGAGCUCGCGGCCUAUAGGCUUGUUGGUGUGGUAAUGGCCUACCAAGGCGUCGACGGGUAGCCGGCCUGAGAGGGUGUACGGCCACAUUGGGACUGAGAUACGGCCCAGACGCCGACGAGAGGCAGAAGUGGGGAAUAUUGCACAAUGGGCGGAAGCCGGAUGCAGCGACGCCGCGUGGGGGAGGACGGCCUUCGGGUUGAAAACUCCUUUCGACAGGGACGAAGCGUUAUGUGACGGUACCUGUAUAAGAAGCACCGGCUAACUACGUG